rnacentral:misc_RNA from 1 species
GCUCUUCAACAAUGGAAUCCUGUGAAUUACAAGAGUCGUCAUGAUAAGGAGGAAUUCAGGAUCACCUGGUACGACGGUUUGGCGAGCUAGCAUAUGUAAAAGUUUGAUGUUCAGGUGUAAUUUCUCAAGGUCGAUCUUUGUGAUGGUUGUCUACACUGUCUUUCUUCUUGUUCUGCCGCCAAGUUGCCACCGUUGCCACCGCCACCGCCGCCAACGGUUCUUCUGUUUGUGCCAGUUAUGAUCAUGUCCCUUCUGGUUUUUAUGGCCUUCAUUCCAUCGCAAAUGCCCUCGUUUUCUCCUUGAGAUCCUUUCUUCCUUUUUUUUUCCUGCUCAUGUACAUAUAUAAUUUUUUUUAAAAAUUUCUGUUAAUCAAGAACCGAGC